GCUUGUCUCAAAGAUUAAGCCAUGCAUGUCUAAGUAUAAAUGUUAUACAGUGAAACUGCGAAUGGCUCAUUAAAACAGUUAUAGUUUAUUUGAUAAUCGAAUUUACAUGGAUAACCGUGGUAAUUCUAGAGCUAAUACAUGCUGGUUAGCCUGACUUUUAGGAAGGGCUGUAUUUAUUAGAUGGAAACCAAUUCGGGGUAACCCGGUUUAUGGUGAUUCAUAAUAACUUUCGGAUCGACGCAAGUCGAUGCAUCAUUCAAGUUUCUGCCCUAUCAGUUGUGGAUGGUAGGGUAUUGGCCUACCAUGACUUUAACGGGUAACGGAGAAUUAGGGUUCGAUUCCGGAGAGGGAGCCUGAGAAAUGGCUACCACAUCCAAGGAAGGCAGCAGG
rnacentral:rRNA from 1 species